AUUGAACGCUGGCGGCAGGCCUAACACAUGCAAGUCGAGCGGCAGCGGGAAAGUAGCUUGCUACUUUUGCCGGCGAGCGGCGGACGGGUGAGUAAUGCCUGGGGAUCUGCCCAGUCGAGGGGGAUAACUACUGGAAACGGUAGCUAAUACCGCAUACGCCCUACGGGGGAAAGCAGGGGACCUUCGGGCCUUGCGCGAUUGGAUGAACCCGGGCGGGAUUAGCUAGUUGGUGAGGUAAUGGCUCACCAAGGCGACGAUCCCUAGCUGGUCUGGGAGGAUGAUCAGCCACACUGGGGCUGAGACACGGUCCAGACUCCUACGGGAGGCAGCAGUGGGGAAUAUUGCACAAUGGGGGAAACCCUGAUGCAGCCAUGCCGCGUGUGUGAAGAAGGCCUUCGGGUUGUAAAGCACUUUCAGCGAGGAGGAAAGGUUGGUAGCUAAUAACUGCCAGCUGUGACGUUACUCGCAGAAGAAGCACCGGCUAACUCCGUGCCAGCAGCCGCCGUAA
rnacentral:rRNA from 1 species